AACGAACGCUGGCGGCAUGCCUAACACAUGCAAGUCGAACGAGACCUUCGGGUCUAGUGGCGCACGGGUGCGUAACGCGUGGGAACCUGCCCUUAGGUUCGGAAUAACUCCCCGAAAGGGGUGCUAAUACCGGAUAAUGUCUUCGGACCAAAGAUUUAUCGCCUUUGGAUGGGCCCGCGUUGGAUUAGCUAGUUGGUAGGGUAAAAGCCUACCAAGGCGACGAGCCAUAGCUGGUCUGAGAGGAUGAUCAGCCACACUGGGACUGAGACACGGCCCAGACUCCUACGGGAGGCAGCAGUGGGGAAUAUUGGACAAUGGGCGAAAGCCUGAUCCAGCAAUGCCGUGUGAGUGAUGAAGGCCUUAGGGUUGUAUAGCUCUUUUACCCGGGAUGAUAAUGACAGUACCGGGAGAAUAAGCUCCGGCUAACUCCGUG
rnacentral:rRNA from 1 species